UACGAAGGGGGCUAGCGUUGUUCGGAUUUACUGGGCGUAAAGCGCGUGUAGGCGGGCUGGAAAGUUGGGGGUGAAAUCCCGAGGCUCAACCUCGGAACUGCCUCCAAAACUUCCAGCCUGGACUCAAGUAGAGGCAAGUGGAAUUGCGAGUGUAGAGGUGAAAUUCGUAGAUAUUCGCAGGAACACCAGUGGCGAAGGCGACUUGCUGGACUUGUAGUGACGCUGAGACGCGAAAGCGUGGGGAGCAAACAGG
rnacentral:rRNA from 2 species